AUACCUUUCUUGGCCUUUUGGAUAUAAUCAAGUGUAGUAUCUAUUCUUAUUAGUUUAAUAUCUGAUAAAUGGGCCAUUGGCUCAUAUGAUCUUAAAUUAUUUUUUUUUGGGGGAAGACCCGUCACGGUAGCUUGCUGAUGGGGUCUUCGAGUGUUGCCCUUGUGUUGCACUUCUGCUUGGGUCAGACGCACCCAAU